GAGGGUGGUGCUGGAUACGUUAGGAGCACGGUAUUUCGUAAGUGGACGAAGAAGUCAUUGUUUGCGUGGCUUAAAGGUUGCAAUAGUUGUCAUGCCUCCGUCUCCACCUCCAUCACUAACGAUAUCGCCACGGUCACUGACUCUUCCUCUGGCUCUCCCUGCGUCACUGUUACAGUCAUCGUCACCUUCACCUUCACCUUCACCGUCACCUUCAGAGUCACCUUCACCGUCGCCAAAUUCAUCCGGUAGGAAAGGUGGUGCUAACGGUGGUGGAAUCAUCGUUUGGUUUGGGGUUUCAUUGGCUAUGCUGAUUAUAU
rnacentral:lncRNA from 1 species